rnacentral:misc_RNA from 1 species
GUUUUUAUUAUUAUAUCCAACAACAAAUUACAGAGAAAUAUAACCACCCAAAUCCCACAAAAAGCAAACACCACCUAUUCUCAAGAUGGAAUAGAAACACAGUAUACAAAAACAGAUAGAUCCUUCAGUCUUGCAGCCCCAAAUAUGAUGAUAACAAUCAAUCACUUGGUGAUGGCAUAGAUGGCGUAGAGAACCCCAGGAAGAAAUCCGAGGAUGGUCAGUAACAAGCAUAUCCAGAAUUCAUGCCCACAUCCGAACUUGAGAAACACCCCGAGCGGCGGGAGGAUGAUGGCGAUGAUGAUAUCGAUACAGGUAGCGGCUCCCAUCUUCA